UGUGUAAGCGCUAUAGAUUUGGU
rnacentral:piRNA from 1 species